UACAGAGGGUGCAAACGUUGUUCGGAAUUACUGGGCGUAAAGCGCGUGUAGGCGGCUGUGCAAGUCGGAUGUGAAAUCCCGUGGCUCAACCACGGAAGUGCACCCGAAACUGCGCAGCUGGAGUCUCGGAGAGGAAGGUGGAAUGCUUGGUGUAGAGGUGAAAUUCGUAGAUAUCAAGCGGAACACCGGUGGCGAAGGCGGCCUUCUGGACGAUGACUGACGCUGAGACGCGAAAGCGUGGGGAGCAAACAGG
rnacentral:rRNA from 1 species